CUGUUCAAGAGGGAUGUUCCAAGGCUGCUGCUCUGUCCUAGCAGAAUGCCCAUGUUUGGGGAUAUUUUAAUGCCUGAGUCUAUCAGCUGAUAGAAGUUUCCCCAAAGCAAGAUAUAAAAAACUCAGGUUAAAACAUAAGUUCAGGAGGAGUCAUGAGACGCACGCUGAGCCUGCCUCAGAAAAUCCCCGUGCUCCUUUCUUCCCUCGUUACCCCUGGCAGGCAGGAGCCCUCCCUGCUCAGAACAGGUUGUUCUCCUGACCAACAUGACAGGCAUCUGGGCAUGAAGUCUCUGGAGAAAUUCAGCAGUGAGUUUCUAGUGGGUUUUAAAAGUCUCCGUACGGACACGGGGCGUUGCAUACCCAAGGUGCGAAGGAAUUGUGUUGUGAACAGGCAGCUCUGUGCAGAUUUUGUGAUCCACAGAUUUUAAUUUCUCCCAGGAAAGCUCGUGGGAAAAUGUGCAAAGCAGGAGUGGCGUUUGUUCCCUGGGUUUUCUGUGUUAGAGCUAUUGAGAAAUGCCAAAAGGCAACAGAAGCGUGGGAAUUGUAACCUUGGGAGUCAUUUGGGCAUAUAAAUCCUUCUGUAAGCACCUCCUGAACUGCAGUGAAGUCCCAGAGUCAUCAAUAAUACCAUAUAUUAUUGAGCUUGUGGAAUUUGACAUUUUUAUUAAGGUUUUGUGGUUUGUUUUUUUUUGUGACUGGAGUGACAUAGUGGCACCUGUGCCAUCGACUUUACAGAGGUCUCGUUGUCACCAGAUCACAGAGAUGCUUUCAAGAAUUUUCCCUCAAGUUCUCAGCCUGCACCACUCACCCCUGAACGUUCAAAAUGCAAAUCUGUGAGGUUCUUUCUGCAGCUGUUUCCUUCUGAAGGUAGAGCACAUCCUUGUGAAGCCAAGGAGGCACCUCCAGGGAGUUGUUUCCAUAACAACCUCCCGGACUGUUUCUCUCUACGCCGUGGCUGUGGCUACAAGCAAAAGCACUCGUUGGAUAUUUUGUUUUCAGAUAUUAGCAGCUCAUUCUCACAGACGUUUUCCUCACUUCCUGAAGAUGAUCCCAUCGCCUUUUAUCGUGUACAGCUUGUCCUGUCCAACUUCAGGACGGUUGCCAGCCUUGGAAAGAAGGGAGUGCAAACCUGGGGAUGGGAAGAGAUUUUAUUCGUACACAAAGGGGUGGAGAGUGUGUGAAGGGACAAUCUGAGCACUCAGCCAAGGAGCUGAGGGACAGCUGGCCCGUGGUUGUAGAGUUAUCUGGGUGCCCAGUGAAUGCAAGCUAAAACAUCACGUGAAAAAAAUCAGAAACUCGUCUUUCAGCAGUCUCACUUAGGAAAUAGUUUUGCAGUGGAAAAGACUGUUGUUCCUUCCUGGUCCCUUGGCUGGUUUGUGACAAUGAGUUCCCCAGAGAAUUUUCCCAUGGGAUGUUUUGCACCGAAUCAGGGCAGGGCAGAAAUCAUCUCCUUGGAGGUGAGGAAGGAAGGAAAAGAAUUCUACUGAGGACUACAGGUUUUUUUUCCACCUAAGAACUGUAAGUGUGAAAGGCAUGAGGACCUGUUUUGUGAUAUUUCAAGGUCUGCAUUACCGGUGGAUUCUUGCACUUCCCUCCAAGAUGACAUUCCUAUUCUGCUCCUGUCUGGAAAAUGUUGGAAUUCGGGAUUUCGGAGCAAUUUUUCUGUUUGGCCCUUUCAUGGAUAAAAAUUCCCUGCUCCAGCAGCCCUGGGGGUGAAGGUGGCUGGACUGGGUGUUCUCUCCUCGGCCCUCUCGUUCAGCGAACAGGGAUCCCUGUGGAGAUAAAGAAGAGUGAGCAUAAAGGGAAUUCAGGGCAGUAAGAGAGAGGGUAAGGACUGAAGUGUCUUCUGUAGAGUGAUGGAAAGAACAGCAUCAACCCUGAAAGUAAAGGAAUAAACAGCUCCAGCAUCUGCUGCUGUAGCUGAAAUAGGUCCUGUUUAUGCCAGGGGAGGAUCUGUGGAUUACAGCAGGAGUUGAACCACAGCUUUCCCAAAAGUGCUCCUCUGACUUGAGUCCAAGCUGGAUUCUGGAUGCUGCAAGGCUGGAUGCUGCAGAAGAGGUGGUUGCAUCUUCUUCCUGUAGAGUUGGUGAUGUUUCCCUCUGUGCAGGGAGUCCAACCUUUAUGGAAGGAAACUGUUUUCCUUGCUUUUCGGUUUUCUUGGUGCUGUUGCCUUUAAAGGGAUCAACAUUCUCAGAUCAAAGAAACUGAACCUAGAUGUGAGCAGGGAUUGGAGGAAGGAGCCAGGGAGAAUCCCCUGCAACGUUCAAACAUGUCUCACUCCUGGGAAAACCAAGUAAACCAGGAUUCAACUGCAGCAAUUUGUGAGCUGUUCAUCAGAAACCCCAGACAAGCAGCGAGUCCUGUGGGGAGCUGGGAAUGGCACAGGACACCUCCAAAAGACUCUCUCCAAAAAACUUCCUUUAAACCUUUUUUUUCAAGUGGAAGAUCCAGAGCUGGCAGAUGGGUAAGGUCAUCACUUAGAAGAGCAAAUAGCUCUCCCCAGAGAAUUGAACAAGCCACCGAAGUCCGUCUGUCUGUCUGUCUGUCUGUCUGCCUCUCUUUUGGCCUUGGGUUACUGUGCUUUUUUUUUAAAACUGUGAUUUCAUGGCUCAGAUAAAAGGUGGGUGUUUCACAUAGCACUGCAGGUAGCAAUCGUUCCUGUUCAUGCAAAAUAUCUGCUGUGUAAGGGAUGGGCCCAGACUAGAGGUGUUUCUCAUUUACCCACAAAACGUCUUGCUUGGUGUGUGUGCAGUCAGUUCUUGUGAACGUGUGAGUCCAUUGCCUGCUCUAAAGGAGUUAGUGGCUUAGUUUCAGUGGCCAUAGAGAUUUUCACUGAAAUAUCACUGUUUGUGGUAGUCUUUUGUGUGAUUUAGAAGACACAAUAGCCAGACAGUUCUGAAAUUACGGUAUAAUUGUACUUGGCGUCCCCAGAAAACGCUCUGAAGUUCUCUCCUGUUGCACCAUUGUGAUAAAAGCCUCUGUUGCUUUUCAAGCUCCCAAAGUCCAUGCUGUGCUGUGCUGAAACUGCUUGAAAACCCAAUUAGCAGUGAGAAGUGAAGGGCAGAGAGGGAUGCUCUGGCCUGGAAUUCCCUGCCUCUGGCAGCAGCAAAGGUCAGUCGUGCAGCUGAAUUUCCAUACCCACAUGUGGAUCCACCGUGUGUGUGUUGCCAGUUCUCUGCACAGGAGAAAGAGAGGGUGGGUAGAAAGAAUUGAUUCUGGAAGAGGAGAGACUGAGGAGUGGAGUGAGCAGGAUGACUGGGACUUUCAGAAGUUAGUCUGAUGGAUGCUGGGCGCCCAGUUCCCUGGAACUGUGUAUUAAUAACACUUUCUCUAUUUUCAUGAGUGGCUUGUAGCCUGUCUGGCAGUUUUCACAGUCAGUGUGUGAGGGACAAGAGGUAGAAGGCAGCUCACUCUGCCUUGGCAGCUGUAACAGGCUGGGCUGUAAUACCUGAGGGUCUGAACUCUGAUAAGCUGUGACAUCCUGACUACCUGCCAGAGGCUUACAGGAGAAACCCUGAGCUGCCAGAUUAGAAGCUGCUCCUGGAGCAGGUCUUCUGAGCAGUCCUGAGCAUGGAUGUGAGGCUGCAGUCCUCAGGCAAUGUGUACUCCCUGUUCCCAAGAGACCUGCUCUGUC